AUUGAACGCCGGCGGCAGGCCUAACACAUGCAAGUCGAGCGGCAGCGGGAAAGUAGCUUGCUACUUUUGCCGGCGAGCGGCGGACGGGUGAGUAAUGCCUGGGAAAUUGCCCAGUCGAGGGGGAUAACAGUUGGAAACGACUGCUAAUACCGCAUACGCCCUACGGGGGAAAGCAGGGGACCUUCGGGCCUUGCGCGAUUGGAUAUGCCCAGGUGGGAUUAGCUAGUUGGUGAGGUAAUGGCUCACCAAGGCGACGAUCCCUAGCUGGUCUGAGAGGAUGAGCAGCCACACUGGAACUGAGACACGGUCCAGACUCCUACGGGAGGCAGCAGUGGGGAAUAUUGCACAAUGGGGGAAACCCUGAUGCAGCCAUGCCGCGUGUGUGAAGAAGGCCUUCGGGUUGUAAAGCACUUUCAGCGAGGAGGAAGGGUUGAUGCCUAAUACGUAUCAACUGUGACGUUACUCGCAGAAGAAGCACCGGCUAACUCCGUGCCAGCAGCCGCAGUAACAC
rnacentral:rRNA from 1 species